AUAAGAUCUACUUCUUCAGAGGGAACCAAAUUAUAGGAGCUGCACAUUAAUUUUUUCCUUUUUUGCCUUGUUUAUUUUUAUACUAACUCUAAAAAAGGACAGAAGCUAUACAGAUAGAAGCUUUUUUUAUGUGCUCCUUACUUUUUCUCAGAAUGUACUGAUCUUAUGCUCUGAGGGAGAGAAGGUCCUUCGGAGAAAAAUAGCCUGCAAUCGUAAUGAAAGCUGUAUUUGUUAUUGUCCCGAUUCUGCUGAGGUGUAGGAAAGGAGGAGGAGAAGGUGGCCAGUCACAGGAUGCUGUGAUAGACUGUGCUAGAAGUCUUGCUGACAUCAGGAUAAAUGACUUCCAUUGCUUUCCACUGUUCUGAAGACCCAGUCACUUCAUCGAGGAAGACAGCUCUAUUUUUACUUGACAACUGCAGGAAUGAUGUUCCCAGAACGAAGAAAAAUGGAAAGUUAGUUGGAUUUUGACAAGAAUGGACCAACCAAUAGCAAAAAUAAUUUACUUUCUUUUGACGUAAAUGUGUCAAAUAUUGAAAAGUAUUUGAUUGCUGCCAAAGCUAGAAUGGUAUUAAAAACUUCGUAUUAACUUACACUUUUCUGAAAAAGUUCACUUGGACUUUUAUUCUAGGUUCAUCUAUGCAGUGCUUUUUUUUCUAGGUCUUAUAUUAAUGAAUUAUUUGGCUGUAAUUUUUCACUGGAAAAUAUUUUUAUACUAAAUUUAAGAAAGUGUUUCACUACAUUAUUUAUAUUGUUACAUUUUUUAACAAUUUAUUUGC